GGCUGGUUAGCUCAGUUGGUUGGAGCGUGGUGUUGAUAACGCCAAGGUCCUGUGUUCUAUUCCCGGAUUGGCCA